GAAGGUAUAACUCAGUGACAGAGCUGCUGCCUAGCGUGCUGAGGUCCUGGGUUCAAUCCCUAGUACCUCCG
rnacentral:tRNA from 1 species